UCUUAAUAUGGCUAUUUGAUUUUCUGGGACAGGGAAAGAAUAGCCUUGAAGUUGACAUGUGGCCAAUUGUGGCCCUUUUUAAUGCUCUUGCCAUGGCGUCCUAGCUGCUGGAAUCACAUGUGUGCAAGAGUCCAGCUCAUUAUUUUACUUAGAAAUAGUCCAAAGAUACCUCUUGUUCUUUGAUCUCUAAUUUUUCUUGCAAAUACUAAAAAGAAAUAUAAAUUGUAAAUUGACUUCAAGGAUGAGAAAUUUGGGGUGAUAUGAAUAAAAAUAUAGGCAAUUCUCAAUAAUGCAGCAGAAUACUGAAGGUUAGUACUAACAGACACUGGAACUACAGGGUAUAAACAAAGAAUGAAAAAGUCUGUUUGCUAGAAUGUUAACUAAAACAAAUCUUUAAAAGCAGCAAAAGAUAAGGAAAGAGAUUUUAUAGAUAGCCAGGCAUAUUCCAGAGCCAAUAAGUCACUGCAAAGUAAUAAGGAGUUGUUUUUAAAUUGAUUCACCAAGUAUACGACUACUGUCAUCUAAAAACUUAUCACUAAGUUUAUUACUGCUAUUGUUAUAAUGGUGUCCUUCUUGUUGUUCAAUUUCUCCUUAAGAAGCAGAGCCAGCAAGGUGUAGGCUUUCUUUCAGUGUUGCUCUUCCUGGAGUUCCUACUAAUGGUAUCACAUUCAUGUACCAUGUAUUUAACAUGUUUGCUAUUACCCCAGAAACUGCACAGGUCUGUGUGCAUCCAGAAUUGUGCGUGGAAUCUGAACCAAUAAGAAGAGCGAUCUCAUUUCCACCAAUGGAACAAAUUCUGAGGAAAUCUUGGAGAUCUUCAGAGGUGCUGAUUCAAUUCUCCUCCCAAUUAAAUGUGUGCUGCCACAGAAACAACCAUACAGAAAAUGGAUUGCAGAAAAUAAUAUAAUUGAUCCUAGGCCCUAAAUACCAUUAAAAAAGAGAAAAGAAAACAUCCUGCAGUAAAUAGGUGUGAACAUAUAUCUAGCUCUUUGGGCCUAUAUCCAGUAUAUCUACAUGAAAUCUUCCCUAUCUGCCUCCGGAUUGCUGCCUGUGAUUCUGUGCUGCCAAUUACAGCAGGCUUGUAAAGUUUACUGUUUUCAUGUCAGGUUCCCCAACUGCACUUAUGUGGGGAAUCUGACACUGAAAUUCACAGGGUCUCUUGUGGCUGCCUUUGAGUAAUUGCAAGUAGUAGAGAGAAAAUAAUGGUCACUGGGUUGUUUCCCUUUACCAAGUUUUCUUUAUCUCAUCCAAAUAAUCUGAGUCACUGUGUUUUACUCUGUGAAAUUGUGUUGCUCAGCUCUUUUCAUGUCAACAAAUAGGAAGAGUAGCUUGACUAAGUAAUGGGGCCUUCAGGGAACUUUUGAAGAAAACAUGUUUGAUAUAAUAUUGCAGGAUACAAAAUACCAAUUUUAGAAGCAGAUAUAUUCUGAGUUCUAAUUGUACAUGGGAAUUUCAGGCAUAUACUUUCAAUAUUUUUGCUUCAGAAAAACUUACCACAGUCUCUUAUACUGUCCAUAAACUUUGCAGUUGACUCAGUGAUACCUUCUGUAUCACAGACAACUGCUCUCCUUCUAUUCAGUAUCAAAUAAAAUAUAAUCCUG
ensembl:lncRNA